rnacentral:snRNA from 1 species
CUUAAUCGAUUCUUUAUGUUUU